UACGUAGGGUGCAAGCGUUGUCCGGAAUUAUUGGGCGUAAAGAGCUCGUAGGCGGUUUGUCGCGUCUGCUGUGAAAACCCGAGGCUCAACCUCGGGCCUGCAGUGGGUACGGGCAGACUAGAGUGCGGUAGGGGAGAUUGGAAUUCCUGGUGUAGCGGUGGAAUGCGCAGAUAUCAGGAGGAACACCAAUGGCGGAGGCAGAUCUCUGGGCCGUAACUGACGCUGAGGAGCGAAAGCAUGGGGAGCGAACAGG
rnacentral:rRNA from 1 species